ACAAGCGGUGGAUGAUGUGGAUUAAUUCGAUGCAACGCGAAGAACCUUACCUACCCUUGACAUGUCCGGAACUUGCCAGAGAUGGCUUGGUGCCCGAAAGGGAAUCGGAACACAGGUGCUGCAUGGCUGUCGUCAGCUCGUGUCGUGAGAUGUUGGGUUAAGUCCCGCAACGAGCGCAACCCUUAUCAUUAGUUGCUACGCAAGGGCACUCUAAUGAGACUGCCGGUGACAAACCGGAGGAAGGUGGGGAUGACGUCAAGUCCUCAUGGCCCUUAUGGGUAGGGCUUCACACGUCAUACAAUGGUCGGUACAGAGGGUUGCCAAGCCGCGAGGCGGAGCCAAUCCCACAAAGCCGAUCGUAGUCCGGAUUGUUCUCUGCAACUCGAGAGCAUGAAGUCGGAAUCGCUAGUAAUCGCAGGUCAGCAUACUGCGGUGAAUACGUUCCCGGGUCUU
rnacentral:rRNA from 1 species